UUCCAGACUCCUACGGGAGGCAGCAGUGGGGAAUAUUGCACAAUGGGCGAAACCCUGAUGCAGCGACGCCGCGUGAGUGAAGAAGUAUUUCGGUAUGUAAAGCUCUAUCAGCAGGGAAGAUAAUGACGGUACCUGACUAAGAAGCCCCGGCUAACUACGUGCCAGCAGCCGCGGUAAUACGUAGGGGGCAAGCGUUAUCCGGAUUUACUGGGUGUAAAGGGUGCGUAGGUGGCAUGGCAAGUCAGAAGUGAAAGCCCGGGGCUCAACCCCGCGGACUGCUUUUGAAACUGUCAGGCUGGAGUACAGGAGAGGUAAACGGAAUUCCUAGUGUAGCGGUGAAAUGCGUAGAUAUUAGGAGGAACACCAGUGGCGAAGGCGGCUUACUGGACAGUAACUGACGUUGGGGCUCGAAAGCGUGGGGAGCAAACAGGAUUAGAUACCCGAGUAUC
rnacentral:rRNA from 1 species